rnacentral:rRNA from 2 species
AGAGUUUGAUCCUGGCUCAGGACGAACGCUGGCGGCGUGCCUAAUACAUGCAAGUCGAACGAACUCUGGUAUUGAUUGGUGCUUGCAUCAUGAUUUACAUUUGAGUGAGUGGCGAACUGGUGAGUAACACGUGGGAAACCUGCCCAGAAGCGGGGGAUAACACCUGGAAACAGAUGCUAAUACCGCAUAACAACUUGGACCGCAUGGUCCGAGCUUGAAAGAUGGCUUCGGCUAUCACUUUUGGAUGGUCCCGCGGCGUAUUAGCUAGAUGGUGGGGUAACGGCUCACCAUGGCAAUGAUACGAGCCGACCUGAGAGGGUAAUCGGCCACAUUGGGACUGAGACACGGCCCAAACUCCUACGGGAGGCAGCAGUAGGGAAUCUUCCACAAUGGACGAAAGUCUGAUGGAGCAACGCCGCGUGAGUGAAGAAGGGUUUCGGCUCGUAAAACUCUGUUGUUAAAGAAGAACAUAUCUGAGAGUAACUGUUCAGGUAUUGACGGUAUUUAACCAGAAAGCCACGGCUAACUACGUGCCAGCAGCCGCGGUAAUACGUAGGUGGCAAGCGUUGUCCGGAUUUAUUGGGCGUAAAGCGAGCGCAGGCGGUUUUUUAAGUCUGAUGUGAAAGCCUUCGGCUCAACCGAAGAAGUGCAUCGGAAACUGGGAAACUUGAGUGCAGAAGAGGACAGUGGAACUCCAUGUGUAGCGGUGAAAUGCGUAGAUAUAUGGAAGAACACCAGUGGCGAAGGCGGCUGUCUGGUCUGUAACUGACGCUGAGGCUCGAAAGUAUGGGUAGCAAACAGGAUUAGAUACCCUGGUAGUCCAUACCGUAAACGAUGAAUGCUAAGUGUUGGAGGGUUUCCGCCCUUCAGUGCUGCAGCUAACGCAUUAAGCAUUCCGCCUGGGGAGUACGGCCGCAAGGCUGAAACUCAAAGGAAUUGACGGGGGCCCGCACAAGCGGUGGAGCAUGUGGUUUAAUUCGAAGCUACGCGAAGAACCUUACCAGGUCUUGACAUACUAUGCAAAUCUAAGAGAUUAGACGUUCCCUUCGGGGACAUGGAUACAGGUGGUGCAUGGUUGUCGUCAGCUCGUGUCGUGAGAUGUUGGGUUAAGUCCCGCAACGAGCGCAACCCUUAUUAUCAGUUGCCAGCAUUAAGUUGGGCACUCUGGUGAGACUGCCGGUGACAAACCGGAGGAAGGUGGGGAUGACGUCAAAUCAUCAUGCCCCUUAUGACCUGGGCUACACACGUGCUACAAUGGAUGGUACAACGAGUUGCUGAACUCGCAGAGAGUAAGCUAAUCUCUUAAAGCCAUUCUCAGUUCGGAUUGUAGGCUGCAACUCGCCUACAUGAAGUCGGAAUCGUUUGUAAUCGCGGAUCAGCAUGCCGCGGUGAAUACGUUCCCGGGCCUUGUACACACCGCCCGUCACACCAUGAGAGUUUGUAACACCCAAAGUCGGUGGGGUAACCUUUUAGGAACCAGCCGCCUAAGGUGGGACAGAUGAUUAGGGUGAAGUCGUAACAAGGUAACC